AUUGAACGCUGGCGGCAUGCCUUACACAUGCAAGUCGAACGGUAACAGGUCUUCGGAUGCUGACGAGUGGCGAACGGGUGAGUAAUGCAUCGGAACGUGCCCAGGUGUGGGGGAUAACUGCUCGAAAGAGCAGCUAAUACCGCAUACGACCUGAGGGUGAAAGCGGGGGAUCGCAAGACCUCGCGCAAUUGGAGCGGCCGAUGUCAGAUUAUGUAGUUGGUGGGGUAAAGGCAUACCAAGCCGACGAUCUGUAGUUGGUCUGAGAGGACGACCAGCCACACUGGGACUGAGACACGGCCCAGACUCCUACGGGAGGCAGCAGUGGGGAAUUUUGGACAAUGGGCGCAAGCCUGAUCCAGCAAUGCCGCGUGCAGGAAGAAGGCCUUCGGGUUGUAAACUGCUUUUGUCAGGGAAGAAAUCCUCUGGGUUAAUACCCCGGGGGGAUGACGGUACCUGAAGAAUAAGCACCGGCUAACUACGUGCCAGCCGCCGCCGUAACAC
rnacentral:rRNA from 1 species